AGGACGAACGCUGGCGGCGUGCUUAACACAUGCAAGUCGAGCGGUAAGGCCUCCUUCGGGGGGUACACGAGCGGCGAACGGGUGAGUAACACGUGGGUGACCUGCCCUCAGCUCUGGGAUAAGCCUGGGAAAACCGGGUCUAAUACCGGAUGGGACUGCUUGCCGCAUGGUGGGUGGUGGAAAGUUUUUUUCGGCGUGGGGAGUGGGCCCGCGGCCUAUCAGCUUGUUGGGUGGGGUGAGUGGCCUACCGAAGGCGGUGACGGGUA
rnacentral:rRNA from 1 species